GCUGCCGCUGCGCCAUCACGCGAUUUCUGUUCUCAUCCUGAAGCAAAGUUCUUAACCCGAGGUACUAUUUCUGGGUUAGUGGAGUCUGUAACCUGAAGCGUCUGUAAGCCAAGGUACCACUGUACUGAAGAGAACAUCAUGGGCUGAAGCACUGUUCUCCAUUAAUUUACAGCAAGUGUGAAAUCGGUUUCAUCCACAGAUGAGAUCUCGACUAAAAAUGAGGCACCCAACACAUCCCACCAAAUGGUGGUUUCCCAAAUUGUGGCUGGGUUUGGCGUUGUGCUUUUAAAGAGAGCCCGGUUCAAAUCCCCACCCCUCCCUCAGCUAUGAAGCUCACUGGGUGACAUUUUGUGAGGUAAGUCACCCUCAUCUACCUCGAAGGAUUGUUGGAAGGAUAAAAUGGUGGGGGAACCUUUAAAUCAGAGCUUUCCAAAGAGUGUGUCGCGACAUGUUAGUGCGCCGACUGCAAUGUGAAGGUCUGUCACGCGAAUGCUCCGGGGGGGCUAGAAAAGGGACAGGGAAGCCCCCUCCAGAUGGAGCUCCGACACUCAUCAGGCACAGCCAGAAAGGUUAGGGAUGCCGAGAGCUGUAGUCCGAUGGUGUGGCAGCAAGACAACCAGCGUGGAAACAUCCUGCUUUUGCAAAGAUCAUUUUAUUCAGCUUAAGAAAUAAAGCAGAAAAAGAGGCAGAAAGGUAUUCAAAACAAAGCAUAUUUGUAUUCAAAGCAAAGCUAGAGAUGGAGAGAGAAAGCGAACGAUACCAUUUUAUAAAAUAAAACAAAAAUCAGCAAAAAGGGAUUAAAAAGAGCUACGCACAG